CCGCCCUCCUCAGCCUGCCAAAGUGCUGGGAUUAUAGGUGUGAGCCACUGCAUCUGGCCUUGGGUUAGUUUUCUGGGGCUGUAGAACAAAUGACCACAAAUCUAGCCCGUUAAAACAACACUCAUUUAUUGUCUCACAGUUCAGUAGGUCAGAAAUCUGGGUGGGCUUGACUGGGUUUUCUGCUUAGGGUCUCAUGAGGCUGAAAUCAAGGCUGGGCUCCUAUCUGAAGGCUCUGGAGAAGAGUCUGCCUCCAAACUCAGAUGGAUUGUUGGCAGAAUUCAGUUCCUGGUGGUUGUUGCCAGCGGUUGUUUUCAGAAACUAGAAGCAGCUCUCCAGUCCUUGCACGUGUUCCCCUCCAUCUUCAGGUAGCAGUGGCCUUGUGCUUUGAAUCUCUCUGACAUUUCCUCUGUCACCAGUCUGAGAAAGCUCUUUGCUUUUAAAAGGUUCAUGUGAUUAGAUUAGGCCCACCAGAUAAUCUGCUUUUAAUUAACACAAAAAUAACUAAUUAAUAACCUUAAUUACAUCUGCAAAAUCGCUUUUGCCACAUAACAUAACAUAAUCAAAAGUGCAGUGAGAGGUUGUGUAGUAAAGUGGCUAAGGGCAUGGGCUUGAGAAUCAGACUAUCUGGGUUCAAAGUCAUGCUCUAUCACUAAAUUAGGUGACACUGGACAAAGCUUUUUAGCUUCUCCGUGCUUCUGCAAAACAAGCAUCAUCUUUAAUAACCUGCCUUGUUGGUUGGAUUUUAAAGGGAUCAUUCUUAACAAAUAUUUAGCAGAGUGCCUGGCACAUAAUAGUUGCUCAAUGAGUAACAUUUAGUAUUAUUAUUGUAGAAAAAGAAAAUGAGAAAGAAAAAGUGAGAGAAAAGAAAGAAGUGAAAGAAAAUUGUUGUAGACAGAGUGAUCAAGGAAGGAUUUAUAAAGGAGGUGAGGCUUGAGUUGGAUUAAGGUUAACUGAAUUUUUGUAAGCAUGAAGAGGGGCAAUGUAUUCAUUCUAAAUUAUAACAAAUUUACCAAUAAAAGGUUUGUAUUUUGUAGAAAUGAGAAACUGAUUACAUCUGCUUAUUUGGACAGUGAAUGGAACCACAUAUUCUGCCUGUUGGCAAACACCAAAUCUGUAUAGUUUAUUUUCUUCAAAGGGAAUCAUGAUUGCCAACAAUCACUCAGCACCAACAAUUUACUGAAUGUUUAUCUGCCUGCAUUCUUCUUGUGGCUGGAAAUGUAGCAGUGAACCAGACCGAGACCCUGAUCCGCUGGGUAUAUAGCUGGGGGAGUCAGACAUUCAUGAAAAUGACUUCUAGUGCCACAGAUAUUUCAAAAGAUGCAGUAAAGAGUUCUGUGGGUCUGAAUGAUAUGGUGUGCUAACCAAAUAUGUGAAGGUGGCGAAGGUCUCCUAGAAGAAUUGGUGCAAAACUUGAGUCUCAAAGGAUGAGCUGGGUGAGGAGUUGGGCACAGUAUUCUGGGCAGUGGGAACAUCAUGGACAGAAGCCUGAAUGCAGCGGAGAGACUGACUCACUUGUGGGCAUGAAGGAGAUCAGCAUGACUGGAUUGGAGCUCACUUCCUGGUGUUUUCACCUCAUUGCAUGUAAGCAUCAAUGGACCUACCCCUGCUUCUGGCCAUAUCAAACAGUUCAAUAGUUUGGCAUCUUUGUGAUCAGCUUACAGAAGUGCUGUGGGCUUUGUCAAACCAGUUAGGAAGCUCUAGCUUACUGGUCGAGAGAACUUGGCAUGAGAGGAUGCUGACGAGUUAGACAGAGGUCUGAUUGGAAGGGGCUGGGUGCUGAGCGGGAGUUGGGAAAGGAGGAGUUAGUGCAGGCAACACAUUCAAGAUCAUUGAAGGUUAGUGAUAUGGUUUGGCUGUGUUCUUAUGCAAAUCUCAUCUCAAAUUAUAAUCCCCAUAAACCCCGCGUAUCGAGGAAGAAACUUGGUGGGAGGUGACUGGAUCAUGGGGCCGGUUUCCCUCAUGCAGUUCUCCUGAAAGUGAAUAAGUUCGGAUGGGAUCUGAUGGUUUUAUAAGUGUGUGACAGUUCCUCCUUCAUGUGGUCUCUCUCUCUCUCACCUGCUGCGAUAUAAGUCGUGGCUGCUUCUCCUUCUGCCAUGAUUGUAAGUUUCCGGAGGCCUCCCAGCCAUGUGGAAUUGAGUCAAUUAAACCUCUUUUCUUUAUAAAUUACCCAGUCUUGGGAGGUUCUUUAAAGAAGUGUGAGAACAGAUUAAUACAGUCAGAGAGGCCUUUCUGAGCAUAAGUUCUUGACUAUACUAAGGGCAAUUGAGAGCCAUGGAAAAUGUUUAAGCAGGAGAAAAGUUUGUCUGAGAAGGGGAGGAAGAGAUUCUGAGGUGCCUUUAAGAAAUCCACUUGUAGGGGCCAGGCGCGGUGGCUUACGCCUGUAAUCGCAGCACUUUGGGAGGUUGAGGCAGCGGAUCACGAGGUCAGGAGACCGAGACCAUCCUGGCUAAAACAGUGAAACCCCGUCUCUACUAAAAAUACAAAAAAUUAGCCGGGCAUGGUGGCGGGUGCCUGUAGUCCCAGCUACUCGGGAGGCUGAGGCAGGAGAAUGGCGUGAAUACGGGAGGCGGAGGUUGCAGUGAGCUGAGAUUGUGCCACUGCACUCCAGUCUGGGCCACAGAGAGAGACUACAUCUCAAAAAAAAAAAAGAAAAGAAAAAAGAAAUCCACUUGUAGCCGCUAAGGUCUGGAGCUCAGAGAAGAGUCUGACCCCAAGCCCAGUUCUCCAGAGUCAUUUUGAUUCUAAGAAACCUUGAUAUUCUUUCAAUACGUUCCUUUUUUUUUUUUUGUCCACCAUAGCCCUGGUUGGUUUCUGUUGCUUGCAAUGAAAGAACCCUUACAAAUGCAAUAAUGCAGAAGUAACAAUGAAGAUGACACUGAUUCACACAAGAUUUAAUUUGUUACAUGAGUAAAUAAACAAAGCAAAAUGAACAGAAUUUACUAUACUGCAUCCCUGCUGGGAGUAUGUUGAGCUAUCUGGCCUGGAAGGCCUUUGUGACCUGUUGAAAGAAUAUACAUGGAUUUACUUCAGGAGAAAAAUAAAGUGUUAUUUUAAAAAUGGAUCAUGUUCAUUGUAAUUAAGAAUAAAGGUUGUAAAAACUAUGGAUUGUGGCCGGGCUUGGUGCCUCACGCCUGUAAUCCCAGCACUUUGG
rnacentral:lncRNA from 1 species